AUUAAAAGAAAUAACAUCAGUGGUGUUCGCAGUUCGCAGUGCCAACUCAUAUAUUUCUAUUGUUUGUGAAUAACGUCGUUAUUGUUGUAAAAAUAAAUACAGCAAUGUUUGUAACUGUCAUAUUAAUAACUUUAAUUUGUCUUGGAGUGAGUUACAUUUUGUCGAAUUUCUGGCGUCGAUCUUUUAUUAAAAAAGUAAACACUUUCCCAGGUCCAAAAGCAUAUCCACUUGUUGGAAGUGUUCCCUAUUUUUUGAGAGUAAAUAUUAGUGAUAUUGAACAAGUUACGAAUACAUUAGUAAAUAAUUUUUCAUCUCCAUUUCGAUUCUGGGUAGGAAAUACUGCAUAUAUCGGUUUAUAUGACGGAGAACACGUAAAGGCUGUCUUGCAAAGUCGAUGCUUCGAGAAAAGUUCAAUAUAUAAAAUUUUUAAACCAGUAUUUAGAACAGGACUUGUCACAUCUUCUG